rnacentral:rRNA from 1 species
AGGGAGCUUGCUCCCUGAGAUCAGCGGCGGACGGGUGAGUAACACGUGGGUAACCUGCCUGUAAGACUGGGAUAACUCCGGGAAACCGGGGCUAAUACCGGAUAACUCAGUUCCUCGCAUGAGGAACUGUUGAAAGGUGGCUUUUAGCUACCACUUACAAAUGGACCCGCGGCGCAUUAGCUAGUUGGUGAGGUAACGGCUCACCAAGGCGACGAUGCGUAGCCGACCUGAAAGGGUGAUCGGCCACACUGGGACUGAGACACGGCCCAGACUCCUACGGGAG